GACGAACGCUGGCGGCGUGCUUAACACAUGCAAGUCGAACGCUGAAGCUCAGCUUUUGUUGGGUGGAUGAGUGGCGAGCGGGUGAGUAACACGUGAGUAACCUGCCCCCUUCUUUGGGAUAACGCCCGGAAACGGGUGCUAAUACUGGAUAUUCACUGGUCUUCGCAUGGGGGUUGGUGGAAAGGGUUUUUCUGGUGGGGGAUGGGCUCGCGGCCUAUCAGCUUGUUGGUGGGGUGAUGGCCUACCAAGGCUUUGACGGGUAGCCGGCCUGAGAGGGUGACCGGUCACAUUGGGACUGAGAUACGGCCCAGACUCCUACGGGAGGCAGCAGUGGGGAAUAUGGCACAAUGGGCGCAAGCCUGAUGCAGCGACGCCGCGUGAGGGAUGGAGGCCUUCGGGUUGUGAACCUCUUUCGCUCAUGGUCAAGCCGCAACAAUGGUUGUGGUGAGGGUAGUGGGUAAAGAAGCGCCGGCUAACUACGUG
rnacentral:rRNA from 1 species